AGUACUGUUCAUUUACCCCGGGGGGAGGGGGAAGGAAAUUCAUCUUUAAAUUUGUUGAGAAAUUUUGCGGUAGUCUCUCUCUCUCUCAGAACACAAAGGUCCUCGAUGGCCUGCUGUAGAGGCUGCAGACCCACCCCCGUAUAUGAUGAUUUUCCCCGUCUUCUACUAAUCUUGGCAGUGAUCUUAAUCCUCCUAUGCAUACCCAGCUCCACCGUGCAAACGCAGUCACCGGUGCCCCUGCAAAGGAUGCUUGCCGUGGGGCGUGCCUUGUUGAUUAUGCUGUGUUGUCAGGAUACGUUUUCCCGAGACCUGGUUUGUAAAGACUCUGUUUCCAUUGAUACAUUGUGUAUUUAAAUAAACUGAACUUAUCCCAAAAAAAACGACCCAGUCUCUUUUCUUCUUUCUUUCUUUCUUUCUUCCCUGUGUGUCUGAGAGCUGAGAGUUGUUUGUAUUAGAUAAACAGUUGGGUAGUUAUGCAUGUGUUAUGAUUAUAUGAACAUCAAGCAAUGCUGCUGUGUAAUGCUUAUGGUUCUUGUUUUUUUAUAGAUUCGGCCAGAUGUUCAUGA